CCUACGGGAGGCAGCAGUGGGGAAUUUUGCGCAAUGCUCGUAAGAGUGACGCAGCGACGCCGCGUGAAUGACGAAGGCCUUCGGGUCGUAAAGUUCUUUCGACAGGGAAGAAAAUGCUUAUAAGUAACUGUGUAUGUAUUGACGGUACCUGUAUAAGCAGCCCCGGCUAACUCCGUGCCAGCAGCCGCGGUAAUACGGGGGGUGCAAGCGUUGUCCGGAAUCAUUGGGCGUAAAGAGUUCGUAGGCGGCACGUAAAGUCUGGUGUUAAAGGCAGAGGCUCAACUUCUGUACGGCACUGGAUACUUGCGAGCUAGAAUGCGGUAGAGGUAAAGGGAAUGCCUGGUGUAGCGGUGAAAUGCUUAGAUAUCAGGAAGAACAUCGGUGGCGUAAGCGCUUUACUGGGCCGUAAUUGACGCUGAGGAACGAAAGCCAGGGUAGCAAAUGGGAUUAGAUACCCGAGUAGUC
rnacentral:rRNA from 1 species